rnacentral:rRNA from 1 species
UGGGGAAUUGUUCGCAAUGGGCGCAAGCCUGACGACGCAACGCCGCGUGGAGGAUGAAGAUCUUCGGGCCGUAAACUCCUGUCGAGUGGGAAGAACAGUUUCCGGGCGAAUAUCCCGGGAGCCUGACGGUACCACUAAAGGAAGCCCCGGCUAACUCCGUGCCAGCAGCCGCGGUAAUACGGGGGGGGCAAGCGUUGUUCGGAAUUACUGGGCGUAAAGGGCUCGUAGGCGGCCAACUAAGUCGGACGUGAAAUCCCCAGGCUCAACCUGGGAACUGCGUCCGAUACUGAUUGGCUUGAAUCCGGGAGAGGGAUGCAGAAUUCCAGGUGUAGCGGUGAAAUGCGUAGAUAUCUGGAGGAAUACCGGUGGCGAAGGCGGCAUCCUGGACCGGCAUUGACGCUGAUGAGCGAAAGCUAGGGGAGCAAA